AUAAGAUUUAAAACCAUGAAGAACCACACUCCAUACCAGUCGGUGGCGGUAAUGCACACCUCAAAGUUAUUUGCCAACCGCCAAUAAAUAAUCGAAGAAGAAGAAGAGCUGUGUGCAGACCGCUCUUUUUGCCAGCAGGAGGAGACAUCCUGUCCAUCAUUCCUCAACGUUAACAACGCAGUUUGCGACCUCGUGCCAGCGCCAUUGUGGCCGCUGAAAUUUGAACUUCUUGGGACAUUUUCCACAACCCGACUGACCAAAAGUUCUAGGUGAGGGUGCUGACCCAAAUCUGUGUGGACCAGAGCAUACCAAAGAGAACUACAACUCUGCUGUUGACCGCCUCCAGAUUGACAAUACACCAGACGUUGAAGGAGUAAUGUUUGGACAUCUUGGAAAUGGGUGACAACCUAAGAAGUUCCAUCACUAAAGUACUGCCGGUCCUGGCUCCCUCAGUCCUUGAAAUCGUACUAGAGGCACUACACUCAUUAGGGGUGGAGACAUCCGAUGACUUACAGUUCAUCAAUGAAACAGAUCUGGACUCUGUCCUGAGACCAAAUCAUGCAAGAAAACCUCUGGCUGCAUGGAAGCAAACCACACUGAACAGUGAAAUUUCCUCCCAGGCAAGCAUAUCAUCGCCAUCUUCGUGCUCCACAUUUUCUGCCUCCCCCUCACCCAGUCGUCCAUCGCCUUCUUUAGACUGGGUUGAUAAAUUUAAAAUUCCUUGUGAGAAUUUCCCGGAAGGCCUGAUCCAAUGUCUUCAGAGAGAAAAAAUGCCAAAGCCAAGAUUGCGGAGGGAGAUGAUCCGCAUCAUUUUUAAGGAGA